GAUGAACGCUGGCGGCGUGCCUAAUACAUGCAAGUCGAGCGAACAGACGAGGAGCUUGCUCCUCUGACGUUAGCGGCGGACGGGUGAGUAACACGUGGAUAACCUACCUAUAAGACUGGGAUAACUUCGGGAAACCGGAGCUAAUACCGGAUAAUAUAUUGAACCGCAUGGUUCAAUAGUGAAAGACGGUUUUGCUGUCACUUAUAGAUGGAUCCGCGCCGCAUUAGCUAGUUGGUAAGGUAACGGCUUACCAAGGCGACGAUGCGUAGCCGACCUGAGAGGGUGAUCGGCCACACUGGAACUGAGACACGGUCCAGACUCCUACAGGAGGCAGCAGUAGGGAAUCUUCCGCAAUGGGCGAAAGCCUGACGGAGCAACGCCGCGUGAGUGAUGAAGGUCUUCGGAUCGUAAAACGCUGUUAUUAGGGAAGAACAAAUGUGUAAGUAACUAUGCACGUCUUGACGGUACCUAAUCAGAAAGCCACGGCUAACUACGU
rnacentral:rRNA from 1 species